rnacentral:lncRNA from 1 species
AAUUGAUUUCCCUUUCUUUGCCCCAAGCAGAUAUCUACCCAUAAAGCCUCCACCUUUUCCUCGUCACACUCCACAUGCCUAAGAUUUGAUUUUAACUCAUGGUUGACAUAUAAACAUACCCCACCACCCUUCUUGUUUUUCCUAUCCUUCCUAAAUAACGUGUACCCAUUUAAAUUAACUGCCCAGUCAUGUGUCUCAUCCCACCAUGUUUCUGUUAUGCCUAUUAUAUCAUAUUGUUUAGUGUAUGCUAUUGCCUCUAGUUCCCCCAUUUUGUUAUAUAGGCUCCUUGCAUUAGUAAGCAUACAUUUAAUAUCAUGAGUCUUUUGUACUUUUUGUGAAUUAUCAAUAUUACAUACCUCCUCUGUUCUGAGCUUUCCCCUCCCCCCAUCUCCACCCCAUCCUAUCUCCAUUGUCUAGAUUGCUUUGACCCUCCCCCCUACCACUAGUUUAAAAUCUCCUCCAACCUUCUAGCCAUCCUAUCCCCCAGCGCAGCAGACCCUCUUCCGUUUAGGUGCAAUCCAUCAGGUUGUACCCAAGCGCAAAAUCAGCCCAGUGCUCUAAAAACCCAAAACCCUCUUUCCUGCACCAAGACUUUAGCUACGCAUUGACCUCUCUAAUCUCCCGCUGCCUUUCUGCUGUAGCGCGCGGCACAGGUAAUAUUUCUGAAAAAAUUACCUUGGAGGUCCUUUUCUUUAGCUUACUUCCUAGUUCCCUGAACUCAUUCUUUAGGACCUUCCAUUUUCCUCUGACUUUGUCAUUGGUACCAAUAUGGACCAUGGCAGCUGGGUCAUCUCCAGCCCCUCCCAAUAAUCCCUCCACUCUGUCGGCAACAUGCCAGACCCGAGCACCCGGGAGACAGCAAACUGUCCGGUUGAGUCGAUCAGAGUGGCAGAUUACUCUAUCUACUCUCUUAAUAAUAGAGUCCCCUACCACCACAACCUGUCUAGACAUCCUUACCCUCUCAACCCCACCCGUACUAGAGCGGCUGUUUCCACGGCUGUUAGCAGGAACAGCUUCCUGCAGUACAGCUACUCCUGAGCUGAUGCUCCCAACUUCUUCACUCAAACGGGCAAAUCUGUUAGGCUGCAUGAGAUCAGGACUAGCUAAACCUUUUCUCUUCCCUCCCCCCCGCUUCCUCGCCCCACUGUCACCCAGCUACGUUCCCCAUCUGUCGUAUCUCCUCCCUCUCCACUACCUGUCCCCACUAAACUCUGCUCAGUGAGCAGCAGACUCCUCUCAAGAUUGUCAAUCUCUCUCAGUGUUACAAUUUGCCUCUCCAGAUCUCUAAUCUGAGCUUCCAGAAAUGCCACUCGCUCACACCCACCACAGAGGUAUGGACCCUGGAUAGAAUCAUCCAGGCAUGCAUACAUGGGGCAUGAUGUGCACUGAGUUAAACUCACAAUCUUGCUAGCACUCAUCUCCAGUUACAAAAAACACAAGGGAGCAAAAACAAUAUUAACCCUCUUGAUUUAAACUCCCUUGUAGUUUCAACUCCUGUUUUAACUCCUACUUAAAAGAGACUACUUGAAAUUGGCUACUUUCAAGCAAACUCCAGUGAGCAAGCUCUGUGAGUCAGUAGUGGGUUUAUAUUGGCAAUACAAAUCCCACACAGGUGGAAAUUAAGGGGCACUCCCCCUAAUUAGCUCAGCAGCAGCACCCACAAGGAGGGGAAUAGAAACAACGAGAG